rnacentral:rRNA from 1 species
CUCCUACGGGACGCAGCAGUAGGGAAUCUUCCACCAUGGGCGAAAGCCUGAUGGAGCAACGCCGCGUGGGUGAAGAAGGUCUUCGGAUCGUAAAACCCUGUUGUUAGAGAAGAAAGUGCGUGAGAGUAACUGUUCACAUUUCGACGGUAUCUAACCAGAAAGCCACGGCUAACUACGUGCCAGCAGCCGAGGUAAUACGUAGGUGGCAAGUGUUAUCCGGAUUUAUUGGGCGUAAAGGGAACGCAGGCGGGCUUUUAAGUCUGAUGUGAAAGCCUUCGGCUUAACCGGAGGAGUGCAUUGGAAAC